CUAGCGGUAGGCUUAACACAUGCAAGUCGAGGGGCAGCACAGGUAGCAAUACUUGGUGGCGACCGGCGCACGGGUGAGUAACGCGUAUGCAACCUACCUAUAACUGGAGAAUAGCCCUCUGAAAAGGGGAUUAAUGUUCCAUAAUGUUCAGGGGCCGCAUGGUUUUUGGACUAAAGCUCCGGCGGUUAUAGAUGGGCAUGCGUGACAUUAGCUAGUUGGUGAGGUAACUGCUCACCAAGGCUACGAUGUCUAGGGGGUCUUAAAGGAUGAUCCCCCACACUGGUACUGAGACACGGACCAGACUCCUACGGGAGGCAGCAGUGAGGAAUAUUGGUCAAUGGGCGCAAGCCUGAACCAGCCAAGCCGCGUGCAGGAUGAAGGCCCUAUGGGUUGUAAACUGCUUUUAUACGGGAAGAACCCCCCGACGUGUCGGGGACUGACGGUACCGUACGAAUAAGCAUCGGCUAACUCCGUGCCAGCAGCCGCGGUAAUACGGAGGAUGCAAGCGUUAUCCGGAUUUAUUAGGUAUAAAGGGUGCGUAGGCGGGCCUGUUAGUCAGUGGUGAAAUACUACGGCAUAACCGUAGAACUGCCAUUGAUACUGCAGGUCUUGAGUACAGUUGAGGUAGGCGGAAUGUGUGGUGUAGCGGUGAAAUGCUUAGAUAUCACACAGAACACCGAUUGCGAAGGCAGCUUACUAAGUUGUAACUGACGCUGAUGCACGAAAGCAUGGGGAGCAAACAGGAUUAGAUACCCUGGUAGUCC
rnacentral:rRNA from 1 species